rnacentral:lncRNA from 1 species
UAGAACCUCCUAGGCAUGUAGAAUAAAGUCUUGACUCCACAUCCUCGGGAAUGCCAAGGCUUCGGUGGAGAUGCCUGGUGCAAAGGGAGCCACAAUUGUGCCCUGUGCAGGAUAUAGCCCUAGAGCAUGGCCUGGGCCAUCUGCACAGUUUGGCUGGUUUUUGUACGUGUAGUGUGCUGUCAAUUCUCAGAAGGAACCUCGAUUGAGAAAACACCCCCAUCCAAUUGGCCUGUAGGAAUCUGUGUUUGGGAGUAUCCAGUGUCUGCGGAAGACUGGGGAACCACAGAAACUGUAGGAGGCAGAAAGAAGCUACCUUCAGUGAUCCAGCCAGGUUCCUGUCCCCCUAACCCCACCCCUGGGGUCUGCCUCACCUCACAGGUUCCAAGGGUCACCUCUAAACCCUAUCUACCUGGAGGGAAGUUCUUGAAACCUGCCAUUCUAUUACACUGUGACUGGUCUGGUCUGGUCUCCAUGGAAGCUGAUGGAAUCCCUGCCCUCCCCUUGGUGGACAGAGCCUGAGGCCCUGGAGCCCAUGUGGCCCCAGGAAUCCCAUUGAUUACACUGGGUGCCCAGUGCCGGGUGCCAGGAGAGCCCACAGGAACACACAGUCGGGUGAAUUGGAGAACCAAUCCUGUUGUCUUCUGCCAGGCAACAUCCCAAAUCCAUCCCCAGGGGAAACCUGCAGGUCCCUUCACCUUGGAGCCUCACAGUUUGGGGUUUUGAUUUGGGAGUUAUGGCUGUGACCGGCUCCCACAGGCUUGGGGGUUGCUUUGCUUUGCAAAUACUAGCCUCAGGAGAGGAAGGCCAGAGGGAAGGAUGGUUAGGUACUGGGGAAGCUUUAAGUUAUAACUGUAGGCAUACAUUUUUUGCAACCUACUUUUUUAUAUAUGUAGUAUAAUGUGGCAUAUUAUUUAUUGUCAAUUAAAAACUCAGUUGAAAAUAUUUACAGGGGCUGGAGAGAUGGCUCAGCAGUUAAGAACACUGACUGCUUUUCUAGAGGUCCUGAGUUCAAGUCCCAGCAACCACAUGGUGGCUCACAAGCAUCUGUAAUGAGAUCUGAUGCCCUCUUCUGGUGUGUCUGAAGACAGCUGCAAUGUACUGAUAUAAAUAAUAAAUAAA